UAUCAAAAUACAAUAUUAUUAUAAUAUAAAAUUAUUAAAUUUCAAUCACAGACCACAGUUCUUACUUGUUUUCUGAUUUCUAACGUUCUGAGUUUUUGCCAUUCUCUAUUUUUGUGUAGUCAGUAGUGUACCUUCAAUCUUCAUAGUAGUCAAUUUUAUUUCCAAUAUUGAUAUUUUCUACGACAUCUAGAACAGAACCAGUCCAGACCAGACCUUUUCCCGCUUACGCAUCAACUUUGUCCAUCAUGAACACCAAAAUGAUCGUUCGGUUUUAUCAGACAGUAAAACCUCAUCAGCCAUUAAUCCAGUUUAGACAUGGCGUCCCAGUGAUAAAUAAAUCUGAAUCAACUCCGUCACCUUCUACAGUUGGUGCUGUGCAAACGAUGGAAGACUAUCAACUACCUACAAAAUUUAAAAGAGUAAUGAUGGAUGAUGCCGAAAUCAAUGCUAUUAAUAGUGGUGGAGCUGAAUGAAGUUUUGAAUUACGUUUUAACUCAUAUUUAUACUAAAUAUUUAGUAAAAAAAUAUAAAAGCAAAAUGAUUUAAUAUAUUUACACAGUAUUAAGGUACCUACUUAUUAACUUAUUAAUAAUUAUAAUGUAUGUAUAAUACCUACUAUGAUAUAUAUUUUUUAAUUUGACUGAAUUAAUAAAGUUAUAAAAAAUUAAA